rnacentral:misc_RNA from 1 species
GAACAGAUGUAUUCAUCAACGCUUAGAGGUUUUUCGUUGUUGUUGUCCUGCCUUCCUCACCUCCUCGCCCUGCUGAGACGCUCAUCAAGCCGCUGUGCGCUGCAGCUUACAGAGGGAAGUGGUGCUGCGCGCAAGGUCGGUGCUGCUCUCUCUGAAUUCAAUAUCCUUGUCGGGCUCGUCUUGUAGGGAACGCAUGUGAAUACCCAUCCUGCAUCUGUAAUGCUACUGUAAUGGGGUGUGGUGCAGCUCAACUUCUCGCCUCCGCAUCUCCCCCCCCCCUCUAGCACUUAAGCAUCAUCAUCACCCCCCAAUCGAUAUCCGCUCUCACUUGUCUCGCUGUCUCGUCGUACUGGGACCCCUAGAAGCGACUUGGUGGCGGUGCACCUCUAUUAUCUUUGCAAGUCCACGUGCGCGCCAGUGCACGUAUCACUCAUGCGGACCUCAGCCGCAACCCGCACCGCUGGCAAAGGUGUCUGCUCUCAACAUGGCUCAGUAGCGGCAAAGAGGAAAGUGCCGAAGGACGUGUUCGGUGGCGGCGUCGCGGGGCAGUCGACGCAGACGCGGAGCAGGCGAGCGGAGGCUGUCGUGCGACACGUUGCGCAACUACCGGCUUUUGUGGCCUGGGCGCCCGGCAACGCUGCAGCGACACCCAGUCUCGUGGGGCAGUAUUUGGAGUUUCGAGUGGCGGAGGUGGCCGCGCAACUCAACCCGAUCCAGCAGGCGAGCAACUAUGAGCGGCUUACGCUGUUGCUCACUGAGCUACUCCAGAGGGACCUGGUGGCUGGUAUCACGCCGUGCGCUGUGCAGUGUGGCGUCCUUGAUCUCAUGCACGCCUGCGUCGCUGCGAUCGCCAAGGGAGAAGUUGGCAUUUACGAUGAUCAGCGGAGAAGUGGACGAGAAACCAGUUUGGCGGCGGCAGCAGCAAGCGUACAGUACGCGCGCAGCCCCAGCGCGGCAUUUGGCAGCACUUCGAAGUCGGCCCGACAAGGCGAUGGUGGUGCGGUGCCGAUCGAAAACCUUCUCCCUCCCCUCAUAGAGCAGCCGGAAAAGUCGCUGAGAGAUGCACGCGAUGAUACCGGUGCUGCCGCCACGGAGGACGAGCGCGCUGCCAUCGCAAUGGAGGCGUGGGAGCAUUGCAUGGCCACGGCCCGCGAAGCCACAUCGGCGGAGGAUGCGUCGAUGAUGCCGAGCGCCACAGCCGUCGCGACCAUGAUUUCGGGUGCCCCUUGCGCGAACGCCGCGCACUCUUGCACUUCAGCCGUCGCCGCUGAAGCGCCGCUAGUGUCGAUUUGCUCAUUUCCCGACGCGCUUUGUGCGCUGAUCGAGCGCUGCACCGCUACGCCGCUUGUGUGUCUCACUCUGAAUGACCAGCAGUGUCAGACGACCGCCGUGAGGGACCUGCUGCGCGCGCUGCUGACGAUCAUGCAGCGUAUCGAUGGCAACGCGGUUGCUGCCGUCGACUGCGAAAGCGCCCUCGCCUCCCACAGCUCCUCAUCCGGUCACCACACACCAGUCGCCGCGACGGCGGCACUUGAUCUUCAGGCGGUGCGUCUGGCCGCUUUGAAGGGCGUCUCACGGGUGCUGGCCACCUACCUGGACGGCGCUGACGGCAGCGCGCAAGCACCGACGAAAGCGUCGGAAACGUUCACGGCGGGACUUGACCGCCUGCAUAUCUUAUCUGUCUUUGAGGAUGUGGUGCACCAGUGGGCACACGUGCUCACAGUGCUCCAAAAGGGGAAGGGGCUCAUCGGUGCCUCGGCAGGGGUCGGAAAGGGUUUGGAUGUCAAGCCAGAGGACGAUCUCUUUGGUGCGGCAGGGUCUCCCCAAGGACGUCGCGGCGGUAAAGAUGGAAAUGGCGCUGCUGCGCAGCUUCAUUGGGUGCUACGCAUCACCUACCAAAUCAUCGCCGCUGAGCAGCGUGAGGCAAGCCGUGGUAGCGGAAAGGCCGCGCCUCGCGUGCGACUGCUCCCCCCGCUGCUCGUCCCCGUGGCACUUCGCACGUUGUCGCUCAUUUCCACAGCCAUUCCUCUCGUCUUCCGCGCUGCGUCAUAUGCGCAGCUGUGUGUGGAUGUGCUGUGGGGCGCAUCGCUUCUGGCGCCGAGCGAAUCUUCACGCCAGCUCAUGUACGGCUCGAUGGGCGUUGCUGGCCUCGCCGGCGCCUCGAACGGCAGCUGCGAAGGUGAGGCGGACGUCAGCAGGAGAGCAGAGGCGAGUCCCCCAGCCAUGGACCUCUUCCUUGCCCUUCUCCACCAGUUCAACGAGGGCCACAGUGCUGCGCACUGCGAGCUGCGCGACGAUCUCGUGUGUCUCUUCGCGUUCCUCCUCCGCUGCGACAUACAAUACGUGGAAGACGAGCUCGUCGCACAUCGUGUCGCGCAGAAUGGGACCCCACUAACGUCUUCGGAGUCACUCAGCUGUCUAUCCGCCUCCCUGCCUUCGGCCGAAGUUCACGCCACGCCGCUCAAUCUCAGCGUCGCCACUGUGGAGGCAAUCAACGCUGUAGCGGCGCUGCUGUUCGAGACAACGUGCGGAGCCGAACUCACAACGGCCGCGCACUCGGCCACAGCCACAGCCCCAGCGGCCUUUCAGUCCACCGACGUCGAUAGAGGCGAAUCUGCUCCGGUGACGCUGCUCUCCCUCGACGCCGCGCGUCGGCACGCGCUGCGCUUCCAAUCCAUCGCCAGCUCUGUGGCACGUCGUCGUGAGUUGCUCGACUUCAAGAUCUACGGCUGGCAGCUGCUCGAUGCUCACUACUGCUGGCAGCUUGCACACCUCACCUAUCGCGAGUACGUUCACUGCCACGCCACCACCGGCACCGUCAAGCAGGUCACAGGGACCGACGCCGGCGAUGGAGCUGUCACGGCGGCCCUCUGGGGAAUUCAACUCUCGCACCUGGGCUUCCUGGAUGUUCUGCUUUUGUACGUCGACACGCGCACCGACGAGGCGGCGGUGGUGGCGUGGACACAAGAGGAGCUUCUUAAGCUGGAGGUGGAGGCCUGGCAGCUUCUCACAUCCAUGAUCCUCUUCACGCAGCACCUAGGCGCGAAAUCGGAUGGGCUGCAGGUGCGCUGCCACAGCCCGUACAGCGAGAAGCCGUCCGCGGCACAGGAUCAGCAGCAAGGAGAGGAUAGUCCACUGCCGAGCGUGCCGGUGGAAGCUGUCGACAAGCACCACUUCGGCGAAGAAGCCGAGUACAGUGACAGUGACAUGGACAGCACAGACGACAAGCCCGGCAUGCUGUGCGGGGCCGACGUGCACUUCAUCGCUGCCGGUGGUGUCGAGGUGGCGCUCCACUACUUGCGCACAGCGCCACCCGAGGCGGAGGCUGUGAAGCGGUGUGCCCUCGUCACCGUUGCUGCCAUCGCGAGGGCGAGCAGAAGCGGCGAGGCGCACGGGCGCUCAGGCAGCUACACGGAUGAGGAGGUAGCUCUCGUGCAGACGGCCCUGACGCAGCACGCCCCGUCGCUCGUCCCGUUCCUAGUGCAGCUCAUCCAGGAGGUUGACAUGUACGUCGACGCCUUCGGUGUCCCAGCAGCGGUGCCGCCCCUCAUCUCCUCUUACACGGCGUCGGUGGCUGCGAAAUCUCCGCAGUGCGUGGGGGGGCACCGUGCCGCGCGAGAGGACAGCGGCAUUGAGUUGGCGGCGGCAAUGCCGACCCACGGUGGGGUGCGCUGGAAUUGGCUGCCACAAUCAGCCGCCCACGUGGCUUUUGUCGCUUGGAGCCUGCUGCGUUGCAUCGGGGAUGUCCCGCUGGCAGAGGUGGGUACGGUGCGGGAGCUGGCUCUACCGAUGAUGAACGCGAAUGGUAUCGAAGAGGACGACCAUGACGACGAGGCCAAAGACACAAAAACGCACAAUUCGCACUUCAGCGUGAGCGUAGACACAGCCGCGAUCACUGCCGGCGCGAGCAGGCGUAAAAGCGUCGGGCGCGACAGAGCCCCGCUUCGGAGUUUUGAGUCGGCGGACUGGCAGCCGCACGAGGAGGUGGAUUUAUCCAUUUCGAACAUGUCGUUCUCUGGAUCCUCAAUGGGUCCACUAGAGGUGGAUGGUGAAGAUGCCGUCGUGAUCGCCCACCGUCGCCCGGCCGCAUCGUCAAGGGCGGCAGGUGAUGGUGAGUCGGCGGCGUGCUCGAUUAGCUGCCUCUCAACCCCGUCGCAUACGCGCGUGCUCCUGAGAAGCGUGCACUCGCAGGCUUUGUGCAUUCCCGAUCUUUUUGCGGAGCACGGCGGAGUGCAUCUGCUCACGUCGUGGAUGCGACAUGUCAUGCGCCUAUGUUUGUCUGCGCGUCCGGAGCAGCAGCAGCAGCAGCUGCUGCUGCGCCGCAGCAGCGGAGGAGCCGCGCCAAAACUCACAAAGGAGGAGGUGGCGAACCUGGAGCACUAUGGCGACGUAUUUCUGCUCUUACUUGACGUUCUUCGUGCCAUUGUGAUGGGCUGCAAAGCAAGCGAGAUGCAGUUCGUCGAAUCCGGCGGGGUGCGCGGAAUGCUGGACCUCAUGGAAGCCUACGCGCUGGCGCAUGGCCUCAUUGACCAAGCCGCCCGGCACGUGCGCCUGACGGCGAGGGAGAGCUGCGGCAGCGCUGCCGCCGGCACGGCAGAUCAUAAGGAGCAGGAGGGUGUGCUGAUGUACGCUACAACGCUGCUGUCGGACCUUCUGGAAAGCUGCCCUCGUGCCAUCGAUGCUUUCGCCACGUGGCGCAGCUGCCGCAUUGCCUUGUCUCCGCUCACGCCGGACGUGCUCGAGUGUCGGAUGCCCAGCGACGACGGAAUUGAGGCGGUGCAGCUGCUGCUGUGUCUCUGGGCAUCAGAGAUGCCAGCACGAAAGAGCGGCGGCGCGGCCCAAGCGACCCCUUCUGGUUUGAGGCUCCUCCGUCUGCACCUGCGGCCAGCUCUACGCACAGCGUUGAGGGAGGAGUACGUGUGCCGCCUCUUGCGCCGACGCGCCAAGCUGGGGGUACUGGAGGCGGAAGCCAUUCGCAACUAUUACCGCUACCUGCACUCGGAAGCUGUGCCAGCCACAACGUCGCAAACGCCGGAGGAGGGAGUGCCUGACUCCGUCGUGCUCGCGUACAUGGAAAAGCUCAUGUCCCGCAGCAGCAGGUGCCCCGCCGUGGUGCCGGAGCAGCAAAUCGCCCUUCUCAUCGACGGCGCUCUGGGGCUGUGCAUGAAGGUGUACGGGUGCCUGUCUACCGUCGGGUUCGACUUGCUUCGCACCGCAGAGGCAGAGGCACUUGCAGUGCCGUCGAUUGGGGCGCGCCUAUCCUCGCUGGAGCGAUCGUUACUGGUUCAGAUUGCCGCACUGCCGGCGUUGUGCGUAGACGAAAUCAGCUUGGCCAUGGCCGAGGUCGCUCUCGAGUACGACUCGCUUCAGGCCGGAGCGGACUCCGAGAGCAGUGAAGCCAGUCGCCACGCUAGCGAAAACGCGGCGGCGUGGCGGCCCACGUCGCCGGACCGGCGAGUGCUGCGCGCUGCGGCGCAAGAGGCCGCUGUUCGUGCCGGAGAGCUCGAUCAGCUCAUUGAGGUCGGGGAGCAGGUACAGCAGGCACGAGAGUCGCAGCUGUACAGCCGCUUCCUUGUUACACAGCUGCGGCAGCCGGUGGGGCGGCUGGCGGACGGUCGGCCAGGCGCCGUCAAAGGUUCGUGGAAAACGCAGCGGUGCCUCUCCACUACCCGCGGAAGCGUUGUGGCUCGCAACCGCAACGCGCUCGCGCUCUCUGCAGCAGAGCUGGGCGCGCGCCUCUCGGCUCGCCUGGCAGCCGAACAGCUGCAGCGACAGCAGUUCAACGGCACACAAACCGGUGCUUCGGUCGGCGAGGAGCAAAGCUGGGCAAGUCCGCCCAGCACGGCCCCAUCUGUGCUGGGCAGUAGCCGCACUCCGUACGCCACACUCAUGGACUCUGUCAACGCCGCCGCCCACGAGCGGCUUUCCGCCACUUUGUUCAGCAUUGUGGGGCCACCGCACCGUCCCUCUGUGCCCUUGACGCAGCGGCACCAACAGCGGCAGGCAAUGAUCGCGCGAAGCCUGCGUAAGCUGCCGCUGGAUCAGUCCACCCCGAAGGGUCCUCACAAGCCGUAGUGCACGUGCCUCGCUUUACAGACAGAGAUGUGACGUGGCCGCAGCCCCGCUUGCGUCGGCUCACUGGUGUGACCCAUGAAGGGACAGUGGGUAUAUGCCGAGUAGGUGAGAGGGCUCGCUGAGAGGUGUGUGUGAUACCCGUGGAAAGGGUGCUACGUUGCCACCUCUGCUGUAGCCAAGAUAGCGGAAGAGCGCAGUGUGGCGGUGGUGGGUUCUUCUUGGCCUUGCGCGCCACCCUUGCCCCUUCCGCGUGCGUCUCUCGCAUCGCGCCUUCACCCUGACGAUGCUGCAGCCCGCACAUGUUUUAUUUUGUCGUUGUUGCCGUCCUUUUGUUUGCCUGAACUGCAGCGCCCGUUUAGAUGUAACUACCCUUCUCUGAUUCUCUGCCUGUUGACGUCCUCGUACCACGGUUGUUCCCCUUCCAUCCAUGUAUAUACAAGUGAGAGGGGCCGGGAGGGCUUCGCCUGGCCGUGUUUUCGUCUCCUGGAACACACACACACGCCUCUUUCCCUCCCGCCUACCCCACCCCACCCCGCACACACACACACGCACACACUGGUUUCGGUUCUUGUAAGCGUCGUUAUGUGGCGAUGGUGCCGAUGCUGUGAAACGCCGUUGUUGUUGUAUGUAAUGGGCGCAAGUGUAUGCAAGCGUGGUGCCUGUGCCCGGCAAGCAUGCGUUCGUGUGUGUAUGUGUGGGUGGGAGUUGCGGGAGAGGAGGAGGGAGGGGACCGUCGCUCGGCAGAUCAGCAAGAUGUUGAAAGUACAGCCGCGCACACAAGGAAAAAUAAAUAAACAACGAUGAAGGCAAGAACAAGAAAGGCAGGCCUUCGACAUCCUACAUUGCCCAUGUGCGUUCACCUACUGCGCAUCUGAUGUAUGGUUUUCGGGGACGCACAAAAGGGACGAGGGCAGCUUCUUCCCCUCUCCCUCCCCACACACAUAGACAC